rnacentral:rRNA from 1 species
CCUACGGGGGGCAGCAGUGAGGAAUAUUGGUCAAUGGCCGAGAGGCUGAACCAGCCAAGUCGCGUGAGGGAUGACGGCCCUACGGGUUGUAAACCUCUUUUGUCGGGGAGCAAGACCCGCCACGAGUGGCGGAGCGAGAGUACCCGAAGAAAAAGCAUCGGCUAACUCCGUGCCAGCAGCCGCGGUAAUACGUAGGGUGCGAGCGUUAAUCGGAAUUACUGGGCGUAAAGGGUGCGCAGGCGGUUGAG